rnacentral:rRNA from 1 species
AGAGUUUGAUCCUGGCUCAGGAUGAACGCUAGCUACAGGCUUAACACAUGCAAGUCGAGGGGCAGCAUUGGAGUAGCAAUACUCAGAUGGCGACCGGCGCACGGGUGAGUAACACGUAUCCAACCUGCCGCUUACUCGGGGAUAGCCUUUCGAAAGAAAGAUUAAUACCCGAUGGUAUAAAGAGUUCGCAUGUUCUCUUUAUUAAAGAAUUUCGGUAAGCGAUGGGGAUGCGUUCCAUUAGAUAGUUGGCGGGGUAACGGCCCACCAAGUCUACGAUGGAUAGGGGUUCUGAGAGGGAGGUCCCCCACAUUGGAACUGAGACACGGUCCAAACUCCUACGGGAGGCAGCAGUGAGGAAUAUUGGUCAAUGGACGAGAGUCUGAACCAGCCAAGUAGCGUGAAGGAUGACUGCCCUAUGGGUUGUAAACUUCUUUUAUAAGGGAAUAAAGUGAGGGACGUGUCCCUUUUUGUAUGUACCUUAUGAAUAAGGAUCGGCUGACUCCGUGCCAGCCGCGGC